UUUCCGUAGGUGAACCUGCGGAAGGAUCAUUAUUGUAUAACCGAGGUGCGAGGGCUGUCGCUGACCCGAAAGGUCGUGCACGCCCGAGUGCCCUCACACACAUCCAUCUCACCCCUAUGUGCACCACCGCGUGGGUCCCCCUUUGGCUUGUUCGGAGGGGGGCUUACGUUUUCACACAAACUCAGUAUGCAGUGUAGAAUGUAUUUUUUGUUUUUGCGAUCACGCAAUCAAUACAACUUUCAACAACGGAUCUCUUGGCUCCC
rnacentral:misc_RNA from 1 species